rnacentral:miRNA from 1 species
GAUCACCUUUAUACUCAUAAGUCG